rnacentral:tRNA from 1 species
UCCUCUGUGGUGAAAUCGGUAUCACGGCUGACUGUUAAUCAGCUAUUCCUGGUUCGAGUCCAGGCGGGGGAGCCA